GUGAGUAACACGUGGGUAACCUACCUAUAAGACUGGGACAACUUCGGGAAACCGGAGCUAAUACCGGAUAAUAUGUUGAACCGCAUGGUUCAAUAGUGAAAGAUGGUUUUGCUAUCACUUAUAGAUGGACCCGCGCCGUAUUAGCUAGUUGGUGAGGUAACGGCUCACCAAGGCAACGAUACGUAGCCGACCUGAGAGGGUGAUCGGCCACACUGGAACUGAGACACGGUCCAGACUCCUACGGGAGGCAGCAGUAGGGAAUCUUCCGCAAUGGGCGAAAGCCUGACGGAGCAACGCCGCGUGAGUGAUGAAGGUCUUAGGAUCGUAAAACUCUGUUAUUAGGGAAGAACAAACGUGUAAGUAACUGUGCACGUCUUGACGGUACCUAAUCAGAAAGCCACGGCUAACUACGUGCCAGCAGCCGCGGUAAUACGUAGGUGGCAAGCGUUAUCCGGAAUUAUUGGGCGUAAAGCGCGCGUAGGCGGUUUUUUAAGUCUGAUGUGAAUGCCCACGGCUCAACCGUGGAGGGUCAUUGGAAACUGGAAAACUUGAGUGCAGAAGAGGAAAGUGGAAUUCCAUGUGUAGCGGUGAAAUGCGCAGAGAUAUGGAGGAACACCAGUGGCGAAGGCGACUUUCUGGUCUGUAACUGACGCUGAUGUGCGAAAGCGUGGGGAUCAAACAGGAUUAGAUACCCUGGUAGUCCACGCCGUAAACGAUGAGUGCUAAGUGUUAGGGGGUUUCCGCCCCUUAGUGCUGCAGCUACGCAUUAAGCACUCCGCCUGGGGA
rnacentral:rRNA from 1 species